rnacentral:rRNA from 1 species
UACGGAGGGUGCAAGCGUUAUCCGGAUUCACUGGGUUUAAAGGGUGCGUAGGUGGGUUGGUAAGUCAGUGGUGAAAUCUCCAGGCUUAACUUGGAAACUGCCAUUGAUACUAUCAAUCUUGAAUACCGUGGAGGUCAGCGGAAUAUGUCAUGUAGCGGUGAAAUGCUUAGAUAUGACAUAGAACACCAAUUGCGGAGGCAGCUGGCUACACGAAUAUUGACACUCAGGCACGAAAGCGUGGGGAUCAAACAGG